GGCUGCUUGGCUGGGAGUCAUGGCUUCCUCGUUGUGGUUCCAGCAAGGCCAGCAACCUCGGCCCUUUGGCCGAGGGAAGGCUGCGGAGGCCUUUCCGGCAUCUGCAGAGAAGCUUAGGAGUGACGAAUGGAAGUCUGAAAUAAAUGUAGGCUGGGGGCUUUGAAAAAAGUCACAUGAAAACCAUCAUCCAGAGAUGUAAGGAUCCUUGUGAUGAAAUGUCUAUAAAUGGUACAGCCUCAGUUUGAGGCCGAAAAGGAUACUCCAGAAAAAGACACCGGCUGCAGUGCUGUGGCGGCUGCCCUGGGCUCGGCGUGGAACUUUUCUCAUGUAUGUCUGCAGCGUGUGAAACAGAACUGACCUGCUUUACCUAAAGCAAGUGAAACUGUUCCUCUCCCGUUGUUUGCAAUCUCUGCUGCACAUCAACCCUGGCCCUUGGCAGUGAGAGCGCCGAGUCCUAACCAUUGGACCCACCAGGGGAUUCCCCGAACCUGUGUGUUUGACUUCAGAGGGCGUCUGAAUAUAAAUGCCCCCAGCACUCUGUGGGUGCUCUUUACUGGGCCUUUGCACUGUCUCCUGGAAAGAGGCACUUGGGACCCACUAGCCUGCACUGAAUCAGUCUACUUGUGCCUUACACACAAACACACAGGCAAAAUGGUCGACUGCUUAGAAUGAGUUCCUUCAGGAUUGCCUCUUGUAAAUUAAGGUAUAACUAAGAACAUUUGCACUACCACACACAGAGUUUAGGUGAUCUUGGUGCAGUGGGGGGACUGCAGUGAUUGUAAAAUGAAGCUCACAUGUACACGCUCUGUUGAAGACUAAGGGGAAACGGGUGUUCAGCCUAAAAAAACAUUUCUCAGUGGAUUUCUACAGUGUGUCUUGGGUUUAACUCUAAAGCAAAUUAAAGCAUUUAAAAGUUGA